rnacentral:rRNA from 1 species
UGAUAAAUUAAAUGGCCGCAGUAUAUUAACUGUGCAAAGGUAGCAUAAUCAUUAGUCUUUUAAUUGGAGGCUUGUAUGAAUGAUUGGACGAGGCAUAAUCUGUCUCAUUCUAAUUUAAUAGAAUUUUAUUUUUUAGUUAAAAAGCUAAAAUUAUUUUAAAAGACGAGAAGACCCUAUAGAUCUUUACAUUAUUUUUUAUAUAAUUUUAUUAGAUAAAUUAUAUUUAUAUAAAAAAUAUUGUUUUAUUGGGGUGAUAUUGAAAUUUAAUAAACUUUCAAUUUAAUAUUAUAAACAUUAAUUUAUGAAUUAUUGAUCCAGUUUUAUUGAUUAAAAAUUUAAGUUACCUUAGGGAUAACAGCGUAAUUAUUUUGGAGAGUUCAUAUCGAUAAAAUAGAUUGCGACCUCGAUGUUGGAUUAAGAUUAAUUUUGGGUGCAGAAGUUCAAAAUAUUAAGUCUGUUCGACUUUUAAUUUCUUACAUGAUCUGAG